GUGGCCAGCCGCCGCGGUAAUACCGGCAGCCCGAGUGAUGGCCGAUCUUAUUGGGCCUAAAGCGUCCGUAGCUGGCUGCGCAAGUCCGUCGGGAAAUCCACUCGCCCAACGAGUGGGCGUCCGACGGAAACUGCACAGCUUGGGACCGGAAGGCUCGAAGGGUACGUUCGGGGUAGGAGUGAAAUCCCAUAAUCCCGCAUGGACCACCGAUGGCGAAAGCACUUCGAGAAAACGGAUCCGACGGUGAGGGACGAAAGCCAGGGUCGCGAACCGGAUUAGAAACCCUUGUAGUCC
rnacentral:rRNA from 1 species